rnacentral:misc_RNA from 1 species
AACUGAUACUACCUGCGGGAACCUGCGGAAGGAUCAUUACAGAGUUCAUGCCCUCGCGGGUAGAUCUCCCACCCUUGAAUACUUAUACCUCUGUUGCUUUGGCGGGCCGCCUCGGCUACCGGUUCCAGCUGGUAAGCGCCCGCCAGAGGACCCCCAAACCCUGAAUAUUAGUGUUGUCUGAGCCACGAUACAAUCGUUUAAAACUUUUAGCAACGGAUCUCUAGAUCGGAAGAGCACACG